CUCGUUCUCGUUCUCGUUCCCGUUGUUGACGAUCAACUUGAUAAUGGAGCAUAUGUCGGUACAAAAUCAAAUGAAGUUCAAAAUUUUCAGCGAAAUUUGAUGUUUACUUAACCAUGCCUUUUGGAUUCCUAUGAGAAAUGGGAAAGAAAGGGAUCAUCAAAACUGAAGCUUUUUGGAGAAAAUUUUAGAUUUUGAGGUAAAACGAAGAAAUGGGUUAUCUGUCGAAUGAAGAUUUCCUAUUUAAAUUUGCGAUUAGAGAAGGAAUAGAGAAAAGGGUUCCCUAGGAUCUUGAGGUUUGUGGGUGUCGUGUGGAGCUUGGGUUUGUUAGCUAACCUUGGUGCUAAAUGGUGAGAGAGAGAGAGAGAG
rnacentral:misc_RNA from 1 species